UACGGGGGGGGCAAGCGUUGUUCGGAAUUACUGGGCGUAAAGGGCUCGUAGGCGGCCAACUAAGUCAGACGUGAAAUCCCUCGGCUUAACCGGGGAACUGCGUCUGAUACUGGAUGGCUUGAGGUUGGGAGAGGGAUGCGGAAUUCCAGGUGUAGCGGUGAAAUGCGUAGAUAUCUGGAGGAACACCGGUGGCGAAGGCGGCAUCCUGGACAGUAACUGACGCUGAGACGCGAAAGCGUGGGGAGCAAACAGG
rnacentral:rRNA from 1 species